AACGAACGCUGGCGGCAGGCCUAACACAUGCAAGUCGAACGCUCCGCAAGGGGAGUGGCGCACGGGUGAGUAACACGUGGGAACCUACCUUCUGGUACGGAACAACCAAGGGAAACUUUGGCUAAGACCGUAUACGACCUCCGGGUGAAAGAUUGAUCGCCGGAAGAGGGGCCCGCGUCCGAUUAGGUAGUUGGUGAGGUAACGGCUCACCAAGGCGACGAUCCGUAGCUGGUCUGAGAGGAUGACCAGCCACACUGGGACUGAGACACGGCCCAGACUCCUACGGGAGGCAGCAGUGAGAAUAUUGGACAUGGGCGCAAGCCUGAUCCAGCCAUGCCGCGUGAGUG
rnacentral:rRNA from 1 species